CCAGACAACUAGUGUCCAGCACGUACCAGACAACUAGUGUCCAGCACACACCAGACAACUAGUGUCCAGCACACACCAGACAACUAGUGUCCAGCACGUACCAGACAACUAGUGUCCAGCACACACCAGACAACUAGUGUCCAGCACACACCAGACAACUAGUGUCCAGCACACACCAGACAACUAGUGUUCAGCACAAACCAGACAACUAGUGGCCAGCACGUACCAGACAACUAGUGUCCAGCACACACCAGACAACUAGUGCCACUAGAGCUAAGCAGGUGGUAUUUAACACCCUGAUCUCACUAACAAACAGGUGAUAUUUAACACUCUGAGCUCACUAACAAACAGAUGAUAUUUAACACCCUGAGCUCACUAACAAAUAGGUGAUAUUUAACACCCUGAUCUCACUAACAAACAGGUGAUAUUUAACACUCUGAGCUCACUAACAAACAGGUGAUAUUUAACAAUCUGAACUCACUAACAAACAGGUGAUAUUUAACACCCUGAGCUCACUAACAAACAGAUGAUAUUUAACACCCUGAGCUCACUAACAAAUAGGUGAUAUUUAACACCCUGAGCUCACUAACAAACAGGUGAUAUUUAACACCCUGAGCUCACUAACAAACAGGUGAUAUUUAACACCCUGAGCUCACUAACAAACAGAUGAUAUUUAACACCCUGAGCUCACUAACAAAUAGGUGAUAUUUAACACCCUGAGCUCACUAACAAACAGGUGAUAUUUAACACCCUGAGCUCACUAACAAACGGGUGAUAUUUAACACCCUGAGCUCACUAACAAACAGGUGAUAUUAUACACCCUGAGCUCACUAACAAAAUCCGUAAUAACUCGCUCCCGUUUAUAGCCAGACUUUAAUAAUCAUCUAACUUCUAUGUAAAGCCUUAAUGUUCUCGUUUUUACAAAAAAUGUAAAGUAUUAACAUUAUUAGUAUUACUAUAAUUAACAUAAUUUUAAUUAAUGUAAUUAAUAUUGAACAGUGACACCAGAUACUCAACAAGCAAAAUAAGGGGUAAUUACCCCAUGUUUACCCAUGCUAAUUGCCAAAUGUUAAUUACCUUAUGUUAAUUACCUCAUGUUAAUUACCCCAUGUUAAUUACCCUAUGUUAAUUACCUCAUGUUAAUUACCACAUAUUAAUUACCCCAUGUUAAUUACCCCAUUUUAAUUUACCCAAUGUUAAUUACCUCAUGUUAAUUACCCCAUGUUAAUUACCCAGUGUUAAUUACCCCAUGUUAAUUACCACUGGGAUAAGGGGACACCCAGAUAACAGAGUUUCAAGCUGAGUCAUAAGAGAUAUGUUCGUUAUAAUGUUUACCUCUGCACACUAUCUUAUACAUAGUGUUUAAUUUAACUUCUUUCGUUUAUUACAAUGUUUAAUGCAACGUAUUUAUUGUGAUACAUUUGUAGUAAAAUUUUAGUUUAACAUUUGUAAAGAAUUUGUAGUAAAUAUUUGUAGUGAAACAUUUGUAGUGAAACAUUUGUAGUGAAACAUUUGUAGUGAAACAUUUGUAGUGAAACAUCUGUAAUAAAACGUCUGUAGUGAAAUGUCUGUAGUAAAACAUCUGUAGUAAAACAUCUGUAGCAAAACAUCUGUAGUUAAACAUCUGUAGCAAAACAUCUGUAGUAAAACAUUUGCAGUAAAACAUCUGUAGUAAAACUUCUGUAGUAAAAUAUUUGUAGUAAAACAUCUGUAGUAAAACAUCUGUAGUAAAACAUCUGUAGUAAAACAUCUGUAGUAAAACGUCUGUAAUAAAACAUCUGUAGAAAAACA